rnacentral:rRNA from 1 species
AGGAUGACGGUCCUAUGGAUUGUAAACUGCUUUUGUACAGGAAGAAACAGUUCUACGUGUAGAACCUUGACGGUACUGUAAGAAUAAGGAUCGGCUAACUCCGUGCCAGCAGCCGCGGUAAUACGGAGGAUCCAAGCGUUAUCCGGAAUCAUUGGGUUUAAAGGGUCCGUAGGCGGUUUAGUAAGUCAGUGGUGAAAGCCCAUCGCUCAACGGUGGAACGGCCAUUGAUACUGCUAGACUUGAAUUAUUAGGAAGUAACUAGAAUAUGUAGUGUAGCGGUGAAAUGCUUAGAGAUUACAUGGAAUACCCCNUUUGGGAGGNNGGUUNUUCUAAUGGAUUGACGCUGAUGGACGAAAGCGUGGGUAGCGAACAGGAUUAGAUACCCUGGUAGUCCAAGGGCGAAUUC